UACCAGCACCCCGAGUGGUCGGGACGUUUAUUGGGCCUAAAGCAUCCGUAGCCGGUUCUACAAGUCUUCCGUUAAAUCCACCUGCUUAACAGAUGGGCUGCGGAAGAUACUAUAGAGCUAGGAGGCGGGAGAGGCAAGCGGUACUCGAUGGGUAGGGGUAAAAUCCGUUGAUCCAUUGAAGACCACCAGUGGCGAAGGCGGCUUGCCAGAACGCGCUCGACGGUGAGGGAUGAAAGCUGGGGGAGCAAAC
rnacentral:rRNA from 2 species